rnacentral:piRNA from 1 species
UGAAAAGAUCUUUCAAUGACUGUGUUUGUG